rnacentral:rRNA from 1 species
UACGUAGGGUGCAAGCGUUAAUCGGAAUUACUGGGCGUAAAGCGUGCGCAGGCGGUUUUGUAAGACUGUCGUGAAAUCCCCGGGCUCAACCUGGGAAUGGCGAUGGUGACUGCAAGGCUAGAGUUUGGCAGAGGGGGGUAGAAUUCCACGUGUAGCAGUGAAAUACGUAGAUAUGUGGAGGAACACCGAUGGCGAAGGCAGCCCCCUGGGUCAAAACUGACGCUCAUGCACGAAAGCGUGGGGAGCAAACAGG